rnacentral:rRNA from 1 species
UACGUAGGGUGCAAGCGUUGUCCGGAAUUACUGGGCGUAAAGCGCACGUAGGCGGCUUUGUAAGUUAGAGGUGAAAGCCCGGAGCUUAACUCCGGAAUUGCCUUUAAGACUGCAUCGCUAGAAUUGUGGAGAGGUAAGUGGAAUUCCGAGUGUAGAGGUGAAAUUCGUAGAUAUUGGGAAGAACACCGGUGGCGAAGGCGGCUCUCUGGACCGAUACUGACGCUGAGGCGCGAAAGCGUGGGGAGCAAACAGG